AUGGAGAUUUCAAUGGAAAUUGAAGAGGGGCAAUCCAUGAAGACAAUAGUGAAAAUUGAAGAAACUCACAUCAUGGAAUUUGUGGAGAUUGAAGAUUUUUAUAACCCUUUAAUUCAUAUUGUCUUGGUUGUUUAUUUAUCCACAUAUUUCCAUGGAUACAAAGGACAAUAUGAAAUUGCUCAAUUCAAUUUUGUUCAAGUCAAUCUUCUUCAUACCAUUCAAGGAGCCAUGGUUUAAUUUUCCAAAGGUGUUUUUGAUUCUUUAACACUUUAAAAUUCAAGAUUGAAUUUUCUCAAAAGUGUGAGUGAGUGACGCAUUAGGCAAAUCAAAACUAGACUUGAAUACGUGUAGAAUGGAGAAAGAAAAUCCAUA
rnacentral:misc_RNA from 1 species